CUGAGAAGAAGCUGCGCUGGUCUGAGGGCAGGCUGACUGGGGCCGGUAGCGUUUCCGCAGAGCAGCUUCCUGGGGAGUUUUGUCUAAACGUUUGAGGUCAAUGGGCCCAGGCGGUGGCUGGACGUCAGGGCGCUGGAAUGUUGAGGAGCCUCGGAUGCAUCACAGUGCUUUGAAUAGGCUACGAGGGCACUGUUUCCUCCCACAGACUGUAUCUUGAUGAAUUUGCCAGAAAUUGGGCCAAGACUCACAGAGAAGACCGAGGUCCAAUUUGGCGAGUUGGCUGUUAGUGGCUAUGCUUGGUGGUUUGGUUAAGAAGAUGGAGCCAAAACCCAGAGUGAGAAUGAGGUUCCUUUAGAGCUGCCAGAGGCAGACGUAAGCCCGAGAGACGGGAACGUGUGACUCCUGGAUCCUCCCUUGUCGUCAUGACGAGAUGACAUGUCGGUUUCAUUUCGGACUCUUCUGAAGGAGACUGAGCCAAGCACUUGGGGCCUGGAGGCUGGUGGAAAGGUGAGUGGGGCAACCCUGGCUUCCCUGCGUCUGUAGGACUCAGGGUAGCGUCUUGUGGCCAAGCACGGAGAAGCCCCGGGCAGCCAAGAACAAGCCUCCUGCUCAUCCCGGCCUGGCUCGGCGAGCUCGCGGGGAGGCAGAAGGGCAGCUGGUCCUCGGGGUGUCCCUGGAGAGCUGGCAACACCCCUGUUUCCAUGUGUCCCACCAAGGCUUGGGGCCAAACCUGAGGAGGAAGUGCUUCUCCCCUUUGGGCUGCAGCCCAGCCUGUGGUCAGAGAUACUGCUCCUGGUGUGAAGGACACACAGCUGUGGUUUCUGGACCUGGUGGCCUUGGGAUGAGGGCUGAUGGGAGAGUGGGGGUGCCUGGGCUGGCGGGGUGGGCAGAGCCCCGUGUCUAUCUGGAAGGAGGGCUGUCCCAGCAAGGCAACCCUGGAUUUAAACUCGGGGACCAAGGUCCAGCUGUGGUCACCUGCUUGGGUGUCCUUUCUAGUGAACCCUGCUCUGCCUGCUUGGCCCUUCUCUCUUCAGUUUCCUCAUGUGUGGAGGGGGUUGACAUUGGGAAAGAUUGAAAGCAAAAGGAGAAGCGAGUGGCAGAGCGUGAGAUGCUUAGGUAGCAUCACUAACUCAAUGAAUAUGAAUUUGAACAAACUCCAAGAGACAGUGAAGGAGAGAGGAACCUAGUAUGCUGUAGUCCCUGGGGUCGCAAAGGGUUGGACAUGACUUAGUGACCGAGCAACAGCAACAGCUGAGACAGUGAACUGAGCCUGGCAUGAUUUGUUUCCUUAGGAAUUCCUUCUGUAGUACUUGGAGCUUUGUGGAUAAAGCACCAGUCAGAGCCGCCCUGUGGAAAUGGAGCGAAGAAUUGAAAUGUGAUUCCCAACCUGGAGUGGAUGCUCUUUUCAUGCUCAGCUGGGUCUCUAACUCCUGAAAUAUUAAUCUGACAUAGGAUGAGUACCAUCCAGGGAUGUGAAAAAUCCAGCCUGAGGCCCCAAACAGAGUGGGUCCUGCUCUCCGGGCAGAUCCAGAGCCCCUGGAGACGAAAACCUCGUAAGCCAACUGUAGACUCGGUGCUUUGCUGCAAGAGGAUUCAUUUGAGCUAUAAUAAAAAGUAGUGUGUUUAUUUAACCCCUGUAAGUUGAUCUCCUUGGUCUUCAUGAACUGGCUGGGCAGCUAAGGACCCACAUUCCUUCCACAGUUAAUAAAACUUCAUAUUUUUCUCUGUAUUCAUAAAUUUAAUUGCACUCAGACCCGCUUAAUCUACAUUAGUUUUUGAAACUUUACCUAGAUUAAAAAAACACAAGCACUCCUAUCCCUCCCCCCGAGCCUCCCUGCAAUAUGCAGCACAAUCAUCAUCUUUAAGUUAGACGACAUAAAUUGGAAAUUUUACUGGUUUGGUCCUUCGGAAAUCAUCUCCCAUCUUUACAAUUUUCUGACCUGGGGAUUGUAGCGAGGUGUAAAGUAACUUGGUUACAAUUCAUCCUAAGAUAGUGCUUCUAUUUGUUCAACUUGAUUAAAACCCCCCAAACAAAAGCAACAGUAAAAUCC
ensembl:lncRNA